AAGUCGUAACAAGGUUUCCGUAGGUGAACCUGCGGAAGGAUCAUUAAAUGAAGCAACCUAGGAGCCUGAGAUAUGGCUGCUAGGAACACCUUCCACCCUUUGUUUACUACACUUUGUUGCUUUGGCAGGCCUGCCUCUAGGCUGCUGGCUCAUGCCGGCCCGUGCCUGCCAGAGGACCCUCAAACUCUGUUUGUCUGUAACGUCUGAGUACUAUAUAAUAGUUAAAACUUUCAACAACGGAUCUCUUGGUUCUG
rnacentral:misc_RNA from 1 species